rnacentral:rRNA from 1 species
AAUACGAAGGGACCUAGCGUAGUUCGGAAUUACUGGGCUUAAAGAGUUCGUAGGUGGUUGAAAAAGUUAGUGGUGAAAUCCCAGAGCUUAACUCUGGAACUGCCAUUAAAACUUUUCAGCUAGAGUAUGAUAGAGGAAAGCAGAAUUUCUAGUGUAGAGGUGAAAUUCGUAGAUAUUAGAAAGAAUACCAAUUGCGAAGGCAGCUUUCUGGAUCAUUACUGACACUGAGGAACGAAAGCAUGGGUAGCGAAGAGGAUUAGAUACCCUCGUAGUCCAUGCCGUAAACGAUGUGUGUUAGACGUUGGAAAUUUAUUUUCAGUGUCGCAGCGAAAGCGAUAAACACACCGCCUGGGGAGUACGACCGCAAGGUUAAAACUCAAAUGAAUUGACGGGGACCCGCACAAGUAGUGGAGCAUGUGGUUUAAUUCGAAGAUACGCGCAGAACCUUACCAACACUUGACAUGUUCGUCGCGACUUUAAGAGAUUAAAGUUUUCGGUUCGGCCGGACGAAACACAGGUGCUGCAUGGCUGUCGUCAGCUCGUGUCGUGAGAUGUUGGGUUAAGUCCCGCAACGAGCGCAACCCUCACUUUUAGUUGCCAUCAUUUAGUUGGGCACUCUGAAAGAACUGCCAGUGAUAAGCUGGAGGAAGGUGGGGAUGACGUCAAGUCCUCAUGGCCCUUACGUGUUGGGCUACACACGUGCUACAAUGGUAUUUACAACAGGAAGCAAGACGGCGACGUUAAGCAAAUCCUUAAAAAAUACCUCAGUUCGGAUUGCACUCUGCAACUCGAGUGCAUGAAGCUGGAAUUACUAGUAAUCGUGGAUCAGCGUGCCACGGUGAAUGCGUUCCCGGGUCUUGUACACACCGCCCGUCACACCAUGGGAGUUGGUUCUACCUUAAGGCAAGGUUUAAAACCCUUGACUACGGUAUAGUCAGC